AUACGGGAGGCAGCAGUGGGGAAUAUUGGACAAUGGGCGAAAGCCUGAUCCAGCCAUGCCGCGUGUGUGAAGAAGGCCUUCGGGUUGUAAAGCACUUUAAGCGAGGAGGAAGGUUCGUUACUUAAUACGUAACGGAAUUGACGUUACUCGCAGAAUAAGCACCGGCUAACUCUGUGCCAGCAGCCGCGGUAAUACAGAGGGUGCAAGCGUUAAUCGGAAUUACUGGGCGUAAAGCGCGCGUAGGCGGUUGCGUAAGUUGGAGGUGAAAUCCCCGGGCUCAACCUGGGCAUUGCCUUCAAAACUGCGCAGCUAGAGUAUUGGAGAGGAAGGUAGAAUUCCAGGUGUAGCGGUGAAAUGCGUAGAGAUCUGGAGGAAUACCGAUGGCGAAGGCAGCCUUCUGGCCAAAUACUGACGCUGAGGUGCGAAAGCAUGGGGAGCAAACAGGAUUAGAUACCCCGGUAGU
rnacentral:rRNA from 1 species